rnacentral:lncRNA from 1 species
AAACCUGCAGUUGUAAAGUGAGAUGACUGCACCAUUUCUUGGCUGGGCUUGGGCUUGUCGUUCUCCAUCACUCCUUGGCUGGCUUAUACUUAUGUUCCUGGAUGGCUUAUUUCCUCAAGGAAAGGGGAGAGACAGCUGAAAAGGAGUGAUAAAAUGGAUGGGGAGAGAAGAGGACUCAAAAAUCAGAAAAAUAAAGACAAUGGUUUAGGAUCAGGCACAGUUUUCAGCAACUACAAGCAGUGCCCUCUUGUGAC